rnacentral:rRNA from 1 species
AUUGAACGCUGGCGGCAUGCUUUACACAUGCAAGUCGAACGGUAACAGGUUAAGCUGACGAGUGGCGAGCGGGUGAGUAAUGCAUCGGAACGUGCCCGAUCGUGGGGGAUAACGCAGCGAAAGCUGCGCUAAUACCGCAUACGAACUAUGGAUGAAAGCGGGGGACCGUAAGGCCUCGCGCGAGUGGAGCGGCCGAUGUCAGAUUAGGUAGUUGGUGGGGUAAAGGCCCACCAAGCCAACGAUCUGUAGCUGGUCUGAGAGGACGACCAGCCACACUGGGACUGAGACACGGCCCAGACUCCUACGGGAGGCAGCAGUGGGGAAUUUUGGACAAUGGGCGCAAGCCUGAUCCAGCAAUGCCGCGUGCAGGAAGAAGGCCUUCGGGUUGUAAACUGCUUUUGUACGGAACGAAACGGCUCUCUCUAAUACAGAGGGCUAAUGACGGUACCGUAAGAAUAAGCACCGGCUAACUACGUGCCAGCCGCCGCGGUAACAC